AUCCAUCUGACCAGUCUCAAAUAGGACGAAAUGUACGUCCCGGAU
rnacentral:hammerhead_ribozyme from 1 species